ensembl:lncRNA
CGCGCGCCCGGGGCGGGGACCCGCUCCCCUUGCUGGGCGCUCCCUCGCGGCGCAGUGCAGUGCCGGGGCCGCGGGCAGGGAGCCCCCAGGCAAGACUUCAGGUCGUUACUAGCUUUGAAGUAAGACUUUUCCUGUCCCCUGCCCCUGAGCCUCGGGGGCCCGGACUCUCCCUGACCGCAGAGCUAUGGGUCACCCAAAUCCGGCGCUGGCCUGGCUCUACCAAGUCCGCUGCUCGCCGGCCAGAGUGUGGGCGUCCUUCCUCCGGAGCCUCGCCAAAGCUGGCGUGGCGCUUCUCCGCUGACAGCUCUCCUCACUUCACAGUCUUUGGGUAUUUAAAGUCAUCGUGGUAACCCAUCCCCUGAUCUGGAUGCCUUUAAUUUUCUUAUGAAUUUACUGCGCUAGAGACGUUCAUUCCUUAAAACGCAUUGACUGGGGUCGCGCUUGGCUCAGGGCGCUGUCCCAGGCUCCUUGUCGCCCAAGUAUCCCAAAGCUCCCAUCCCUGCCCGCGCGGCCGGGUCAGUGAGCCCGCGCUGUUUGGAGGACGCCCAAAGAUUGCUGCCAGCGAGGAAGGCAUUCGGGCUCCCGACUGGAGUUCCAGGUCCUGGAAGAACGACUGGGAGUUGAAAGGUUACGCUCCAGGCCGGGGCUCCAUCGCGCGUUUGCAACCAUCAGACAGAGGGCCCAGACAGGAUCUUCCUAAGACGGACUGCCUCAGCCCCCAUAGCUAAGCUGUGAAAACACUCUCAGUUUUAGGAGCAGAAUGGAAGUCACUCCAUCAGAAUAAAGCGUUUGUGGAGCUACGCUGGCGAUUCCUAAAACCCUGAAAAUCCUCUCUCAGGACGGCGAAUUGAGGUUGUUCUCUCCGUGCACAUUUGCGCAGUAGAAAUGGAUGGCUGGUUCGCUGAUCUGUCCGCAGCAGCAAAAAAAAAAAAUCUUUAACAAGGGAACUUGAAAGGUCCAACUUCAGGCACAUGUGGAUUCAGAGGUUCCAGUGAUGUCAGAAGUAGAGCUAGAGUCUCAGCAUUGCCCACCCCCUCCUCUCCUCUCUGCUUUCUUCUGUGGGCUUCCUUGUUAAGGUGACUGACUUAACACCGUGGUACCUGGCAGCUCCAGGAUUAUCUUCUCCUCAGGGGUCAGGAUCUAAGAAUGAGCCCAUCUGGAAUUCUGGAAGGAGGCAGCCUCUUGUGGCUCCCAUCUGGCAACAUAGAGCAACUGCUGCCAAAUAGGAAUGGAAUUGUGGCAGAUUUAAGAUGCUGACAAAACAAAUUCUGAUUCUAAGCGACUUGGCCAGAUUCCUAUCUACAGAUCAACCAGGAUUUUCUGCUACACCAAGAUUUCUUGCCCCAGCCUGUGAAGACCUCCUUCAAGACUCUACCUCAAUAUCCCUUCCUCUCUGAGAGGCUCCCUCAUCCUAUUUCCUUCAGGUCACCUCUGGGAGUGAGAACGUGGACUGAGUACUCUCUGCCCUCAUCUUCUGCCCCUGGAGAGUUCCCCUGGAAUCUGGCCAUGCUCCUCUCCUAGGUUCUGGAGAAGGUGGGGAGAUGAAUGUUCCGAACUUGUGGAAUUUAAGACUGUUCCAAGUGGCACGUGCCAGCAUCCCCCCUUCUUUACUUCACCCCACUUGAACCACCCACAAAUGCCAGGCUUCCCGCUGUCUCAGAAACUGAGAGCCUUUUGUGAAAUAUUGUCCCUCUGGGAGCAUGACCUUCUU